GUUAAAGGCUCCCUACGGCCCUAUAGACUGACUACGUACUACUAACUGAGUUUGUACGCAAAAUAUACAUCUACGUCAGUGAUGUUUAGUCUUUACAGUCAAGUCUCAAAAGAUUUGUUCCAAAAGUUAAGUCCUCGAUAAACCUUGUGCAGCUAAUGAAGGGGGAAGUCCUCCGCUUCAUCAUCUUCGUCGUCAUCUUCAUCAUUGGUGCGAGAGGUAUCACGAUCUAUUGGUGCUUUUUCAAUGCUAGUUCCCUGCAAUAUAUAAUAAGAGUAUAUGAAGACAUUUAUAUAGUGGCUGGCCAAAUAUAAUUUAAACUAAAAUCUGACCAAUUUGAUAUAAAAGAAUCAAAACUGCUUUGAAAUUUGCAUGUACUGCACAAACUGAUUGCUUUAAAGGAUUUGAGUUUUAAUUGCAGCCAAGAAAUUGGUCCUGGUUCCUAACAUCACAAGUUUGAUACACUAUAGGAGUAACUCAAAAUAUACACCAAUUACAGAUAGGUAUAUUUGAAGUUUGUAACACAAUUUUAAGCCUAACAGGCUAACACGCAUGAAAUUAAGAGCAAGACAGAAUUAGCGGCAGCCCUUUCCUAAAACCCUCAGACUUGAAAUCUGAGAUGUGUCACUUUCAAGAUCUAUCUUUUUUGCAGAGAUAAUUAAAAGAAAGAAAAGCAUGAGCAAAAAUAAAUCAAUAUAUGUUUCUUGAUAAUUAACUAAUAAAAACUCAUUCCUACCAAAUUAUCCAGCAUACAUGUGGGAUAUCCAGCUUCAAAAUUUUCUGCCAAGUCUAAAGAUUAGUAGGAUUUAAAAAUGAUUAAACACUUAAUUAAAAUUAAGGGACCGUUUACUUUCAAAAAUAGUCAAUAAUCAAUAUCAGAGUUCACCUUCAAAAUUCAAAGUUUAAACUUCUGAUUACUGUAUCAAACUAACCUCGAUUCAUUUAGUAGUAUAAUAAUCACCCUCAUAGUACUAAUUUCAAAUUAAGAUCCUGAUGAUGAGAGCAUAGCCGUUUAACCAACCAACCACUAACAACUCACUUUACAUCGAACCAGGUGUGUUUCAAUAAUCAAAAUCAAUAGAUUAUCACAGGAAACAUCACUAGAUUAUCACAGCAAACAAUAUUUUUAUUACUCACCCACCUAUUAUAUCUAACUAUUAUAUAUGUUAUAUUUUUGUUCAAUUAAUUAGACAUAACUAAGUAAUAAUCAAGUAAGUAAUUACCUCCAAAAUGACCUU
rnacentral:lncRNA from 1 species